GGGGAUUUAGCUCAAUGGUAGAGCGCUUGCCUAGCAAGCUCAAGGCCCUAGGUUCAGUCCCCA
rnacentral:tRNA from 1 species